AACGAACGCUGGCGGCAUGCCUAAUACAUGCAAGUCGAACGAGAUCUUCGGAUCUAGUGGCGCACGGGUGCGUAACGCGUGGGAAUCUGCCCUUGGGUUCGGAAUAACAGCGGGAAACUGCUGCUAAUACCGGAUGAUGACGUAAGUCCAAAGAUUUAUCGCCCAGGGAUGAGCCCGCGUAGGAUUAGGUAGUUGGUGGGGUAAAGGCCUACCAAGCCUACGAUCCUUAGCUGGUCUGAGAGGAUGAUCAGCCACACUGGGACUGAGACACGGCCCAGACUCCUACGGGAGGCAGCAGUAGGGAAUAUUGGACAAUGGGGGCAACCCUGAUCCAGCAAUGCCGCGUGAGUGAAGAAGGCCUUAGGGUUGUAAAGCUCUUUUACCCGGGAUGAUAAUGACAGUACCGGGAGAAUAAGCCCCGGCUAACUACGUGCCAGCCGCCGCGGUAA
rnacentral:rRNA from 1 species